rnacentral:rRNA from 1 species
GACGAACGCUGGCGGCGUGCCUAAUACAUGCAAGUCGAACGCAGUGGGGACGGGUGAGUAACCCGUUGGUAACCUCCCAUCAGAGGGGAUAACACUUGGAAACAGGUGCUAAACCGAUACUGAUGGAUGAACCCGCGGGGCAUUAGCUAGUUGGUGAGGUAACGGCUCACCAAGGCCACGAUGCAUAGCCGACCUGAAAGGGUGAGCGGCGAAACUGGGACUGUGACACGGCCCAGACUCCUACGGGAGGCAGCAGUAGGGAAUCGUCGGCAAUGGACGAAAGUCUGACCGAGCAACGCCGCGUGAGUGAAGAAGGUUUCCGGAUCGUAAAACUCUGUUGUUAGAGAAGCGGUAUCUAACCAGAAAGCCACGGCUAACUACGUGCCAGCCGCCGCGGUAAGUC